UAUAAAUCAAAAGAGAAACACCAUUCAACAUCAUGGCUUGCUCUCUAUCAUCUUUCUGCGCCUUAAACCAAGCUUUUUGCAGGGAUAAGCGCAUCAAAUACCCCAAAAUAAGAUCCCAAAGCUUUAGUGAUGACAAUGGGAAGCGAGCAAACAUUGUUGAUGCAAACCUGAGCAUCCUAAGGGAAAGAAUUCAACAAGUGAGAAAGAGAGAGAGACUGAUACAUA